rnacentral:rRNA from 1 species
UACAUGGGGUGCAAACGUUGCUCGGAAUUAUUGGGCGUAAAGCGCGCGUAGGCGGUUACUUAUGUCGGAUGUGAAAGCCCUCGGCUUAACUGAGGAAGUGCAUUCGAAACUGGGUAGCUAGAGUACUAAAGAGGGUCGCGGAAUUCCCGGUGUAGAGGUGAAAUUCGUAGAUAUCGGGAGGAACACCGGUGGCGAAGGCGGCGACCUGGGUAGAUACUGACGCUGAGGCGCGAAAGCGUGGGGAGCGAACAGG